UGGCAUGAUUGAUUUAGCUCAUGUUGAAUUGGUUCAUGAGUUGAUCAAGUAGGCCGAG
rnacentral:pre_miRNA from 1 species